GUAAAUGGAACCAUGAAUUCUGCCGUCUUCCAAAACAUCCUGAAGGAGAAUGUCCGGCCAUCUGUUUGCGACCUCAAGCUGAAGAGCACUUGGUUUCUGCAGCAAACCAAUGAUCCAAAACACACCAACAUUAAGAUGACAGUUCUCACCUUACCUUGAUGAUUACCUACAAGAGCAAAGCCUGGUUUCACGGUGUGGAUGAGGGCACCAAGCUGACCUGAGGGUGGGUGAUGCAAAGCGAGAAAGGGUGGAGGACUUGCAGGUGUUCAAACUCCCCUGGCUAUGGACAGGUGCACAGCACCUGCACCACAUAUGUUAGUGUGUGUGUGUGCAUGUCUGUUAGCUUGGGCAAUCCUGUACACCAGCUGUGCACUAUGAAGUUUCUCGCCUUCACACAUUCAUCACCCCUUCCAUCUGAAGCGCACACACCCACACAGGAUUUACAUACAUACUGAAGCCCUCAUGCAUCAGGUGCUCCACACAUUUCUGUGAAAAAAGGCCAACGUGUUAGCUCGUGUCAUGGGUCAGUAGGUGUAUAAUCACUUGCUAUCUGUCACUAGCAAACAAAGGCGUGACACAUCUUCAAGUCAGAUCUGAUGAGGACAUCAUGAGACAAUACUGUGACCUCUGACCAGGGAUCAGGAGGAAUGGGAAGACGUUGAAACAACGAGGGAACAAAGUGAAAAGAACAAAGCUAACAAAAUUAAGCCCUCCAGCCACACUUUAGAUGUCUCUUAUUAACAUUUUAGAACGCAUUUGCUCA